rnacentral:rRNA from 1 species
GCAAGUCGAACGCGAAAGGUUCUUCGGAACCCGGUAGAGUGGCGCACGGGUGAGUAACGCGUAGAUAACCUACCCUAAAGUUUGGGACAACCUUCCGAAAGGAGGGCUAAUACCGGAUAAUACUGUUCGCCUACUGGCUUUCAGUUAAAAGAUUUAUCGCUUUAGAAUGGGUCUGCGUAGCAUUAGCUAGUUGGUAAGGUAAGAGCUUACCAAGGCUACGAUGUUUAGCGGGUCUGAGAGGAUGAUC